AUUGAACGCUGGCGGCAGGCCUUACACAUGCAAGUCGAGCGGCAGAGGGGAGCUUGCUCCUGGGGUGAGCGGCGGACGGGUGAGUAAUGCCUCGGAAUGUGCCUGGUAGUGGGGGAUAGCGUCGGGAAACGGGCGCUAAUACCGCAUACGUCCUGAGGGAGAAAGUGGGGGAUCUUCGGACCUCACGCUAUCGGAUGAGCCUAGGGCGGAUUAGCUAGUUGGUGGGGUAAAGGCCUACCAAGGCGACGAUCUGUAGCUGGUCUGAGAGGACGACCAGCCACACUGGGACUGAGACACGGCCCAGACUCCUACGGGAGGCAGCAGUGGGGAAUUUUGGACAAUGGGCGAAAGCCUGAUCCAGCAAUGCCGCGUGUGUGAUGAAGGCCUUCGGGUUGUAAAGCACUUUUGGCGGGAAUGAAAAGGACUGUGCCAAUACCACGGUUCGAUGACGUUACCCGCAGAAUAAGCACCGGCUAACUACGUG
rnacentral:rRNA from 1 species